AGUGAACGCUGGCGGUAGGCCUAACACAUGCAAGUCGAACGGCAGCACAGUAAGAUCUUGCUCUUACGGGUGGCGAGUGGCGGACGGGUGAGUAGUACAUCGGAAUCUACUUUUUCGUGGGGGAUAACGUAGGGAAACUUACGCUAAUACCGCAUACGACCUACGGGUGAAAGCAGGUGAUCUUCUGACCUUGCGCGAUUGAAUGAGCCGAUGUCGGAUUAGCUAGUUGGCGGGGUAAAGGCCCACCAAGGCGACGAUCCGUAGCUGGUCUGAGAGGAUGAGCAGCGACACGGGAAGUGAGACACGGUCCAGACGCCUACGGGAGGCAGCAGUGGGGAAUAUUGGACAAUGGGCGCAAGCAUGAUACAGCAAUACCGCGUGGGUGAAGAAGGACUUAGGGUUGUAAAGCCCUUUUGUUGGGAAAGAAAAGAAGCAGGUUAAUACCACGCUGUUAUGACGGUAACCAAAGAAUAAGCACCGGCUAACUUCGUG
rnacentral:rRNA from 1 species